ensembl:lncRNA
CCAGAAUCACUUCAACCAAGCUCAUGGUGCUGAUAAAUAAAACCCAAAUCAUGAUGUACUUAAUUUUCAGUGCAAAGUCUAAUGGGCACGGGAAUGAAAUGCAUGCACCAUUCUCUCCCUGAAAACAAGUCUUCAUGGAAAACCAAGUCAUAGGCAGAAGGAGGAAGGUUGGUUGGAGACGGGGACUCAGGUAAGUAGGUAAUCAGUGUCCAUCUCUUUACAAGUCCUCAGGUGUAAUAUGGCCUCAGGGCUAUCUGAGAGGUGGGCCAUGCUCCUGUGAUCAGGGCUUGUUGGGGUACCAUCUACAGGGGUGCCCUGUCUCCAUUUCAGGAGAAUUGAGACUGGGACAAGGAAUACAAGCAGAGAGGAAGCAGGAGAUAAAACUAAACAGUAAACAUGGACUAAAGCACAUGCCUUCUAUGAAAUACGUCUACCAAAAUAUCUGUGGGAAUGGCUUCCGGGCCUUACAAGGGAGAAGUUCUAUGAGGUUUCCUGGCUCCAGGUUAGAAAGAAAAUACCUUUCAGGCUGUGUCCUUUCUGGAAGACUUGCUCCCAUUACCGAGAUUUUCCUAUCAACUAUCCCCUGUAGCUACAGCCAUUCACCAUUUUAUUACUUCAUCCCUCUUGUAGGGGGUUAUGGUUACAACAGCACCGUGAGAGAGUGUGUAAGGGGCAGAGCAGAUGGCCAAAAGGCUCUGUUAAAUGGCACAUUAACAUUCACCAAAGCAGGAGAACGGGGGCUACCACGUUUUUGUGAGCUUUCCAAGGGGUUCUUGAACUGAAGAACCAGUGCAUCUCUGGACUCUAAUCUAUUUUUUUUUUUUUAUGGCUGCACACACAGCAUGUAGAAGUUCCCAGACCAGAGAUUGAAUCUAAGUCAAUACGCCACAGCUGUGGCAAAUCCAGACUUAACCCACGGCAGGUGGGGCUGGGGAUUGAUCCCUUGCCUCUGCAGCAAGUUGAGCCACUGCAGUCAGACUCUUAACCCACUGCACUGCAGUGGAACUCCUUAAUCUCUCUAUUUAAAUGUCCUCAUGUGCCUGUCAGGUUCACUGCUGGCUUGAAAUAUAGCCAUAAGAUAAAAUGAUUGACUGAUCUAACUUAACAAAUGUAAAAAAAAUGUUUCUACUAAAGGGACUUGUUUUUAAAUCAGAGCCCAUACCACUGUCAAAGAAAAAAAAAAAGGGAGUUCCCAUCAUGGCUCAGUGGUUAACGAAUCCGACCAGGAACUAUAGGGUUGCGGGUUCAAUCCUUGGCCUCGCUCAGUGGGUUAAGGAUCCAGCAUUGCCAUGAGCUGUGGUGUAGGUCGCAGACACAGCUCAGAUCCCACGUUGCUGUGGCUCUGGCGAAGGCCAGCAGCUAUAUCUCCGAUUAGACCCCUAGCCUGGGAAUUUCCAUAUGCCGAGGGUGCAGCCCUAAAAAGACAAAAACAAACAAACAAACAAAACCACACACACAAAAAAAUGCCAAAUAACAAACCAAGAAUAACCUAUAGGGAAUUCCCUGUUGUGGUUCAGCAGGUUAAGAAUCCAACUAGCAUCCAUGAGGAUGCAGGUUCAAUCCCUGGCCUUGCUUGGUGGGUUAAGGAUCCGGUGUUGCUGUGAGCUGUGACGUAGGUCACAGAUGUGGCUUGGAUCUGGUAUUGAUGUGGCUGUGGUGUCGGCUGGCAGCUGCGGAUCCAAUUAGACCCUGGAAAUUCCACAUGCUGCAGUCAUGGCCCCCCAAAAAACAAACAAACAAACAAAAAACCCUGUAAUAUCCAGGGGACUUUAUUAUUGUUCACCUACUUGAGAAGUUAUUUUAAAAAUAACAGUAAUAGCCAACCAAGAGAGAUGGAAAAAUAUAUGAAUUGCACCAAACAGAAAGAAAAAAAUAGGGAUAUUUGGAAUAACAAAAUACAUCAAUUUAAACAAGGCAAGAGGGAAAUGAAAAAUAUUUCUUUUUUUUUUUUUUUUUUUGCUUUUUAGAACCGCGUCUGUGGCAUAUGGAGGUUCCUAGGCUAGGGGUUUAAUCAGAGCUAUGGCUGCCUGCCUACACCACAGCCACAGCAACGCCAGAUCUGAGCCACAUCUUCGACCUACACCACAGCUCACGGCAUCCCUAACCUACUGAAGGAGACCAGGGAUCAAACCCGAAACUUCAUGAUUCCUUGUCGAAUUCCCUUCUGCUGCACCAUGACAGGAACUCCUGUUAAGCAUUUUAUAUUUACUAUCUCAUUUAGCCAUCACUAAAUCCCUAUGAAGUGGGUACUGUUAUCUUCUUUUUUCGCUUUUCAGGGCUGCACUCGAGGCAUAUGGAGGUUCCCAGGCUAGAGGUCGAAUCAGAGCUACAGCUGCUAGCCUACACCACAGCCACAGCAACACAGGAUCAGAGCCACAUCUGUGACCUACACCACAGCUCAUGGCAACGCUGGAUCCUUAACCCACUGAAUGAGGCCAGGGAUUGAACUCACAACCUCAUGGUUCCUAGUCGGAUUCAUUUCCGCUGCACCACAAAGGGAACUCCAAUUAUCUUCAUUUUGGAUGAGGAAAUCAAAAACAAAGAGGUUCUGGUAUUUCUUCUGAGAAAGAAGUUUCUUUUCACUGUUACAUGAACCGUAGCAUUGAGUACAAGGCAAGAUUACACAUUCUGUGUUAUGCCAGGUCAGAGGGCAUCGCAGUUUGUCAAACCCUAUGAAAACCCUGUCUGACCAAGGCAGUGUGGAUUACUCUUUAAGAAAACCGGGCACAUUGCUGGAGUUCCUGCUGUGGCUCAUUGGGUUAUGAACCUGACUAGUAUCCAUGAGGAUGCGGGUUCGAUCCCUGGCCUCACUAAGUGGGUUAAGGAUCCAGCAUUGCCGUGAGCUGUGGUGUAGGUCACAGACACAGCUCGAAUUCCGCGUUUCUGUGGCUGGGGAGUAGUCCGUCAGCUGCAGCUCCGAUUUGACCCCGAACCUGGGCACUUCCAUAUGCUGCAGGUGCAGCCCUAAAAAGCAAAAAGAAAGAAAGAAAAGGAGGGAGGAAGGAAGGAAGCAAGCAAGCAAGCAAGCAGGGCACAUUGUGGAAACCUGUUCUCUCAUGCACACAGGUCAAGUCCUUACCCUAAAAUGUAAUGCUGCAUUGUCAAGUUCAAGAAGGCUGGGAAGAAUUCAUCGAGCCUGUGAAGUCCAUUUUAGCCCAAUCUUCCAACACCAUGUGCCGAAAGGGCUCCUCUGUACCACAUCCAACCCUAAGAAUCAAUGGACAUUAAAUGAAGAUGAGUGAGAGUCUGAAAACGGGCGACAGAACAGGCAGCCGGCUGACGUUUCUCCUUCCAUGACAGCUAAAUAUUUCAUCUUCCUUGAGCCAGUGAAAUGACUAGCCCACACCUAAUUAAACUGCGCUGUGACUGUGCUGUGCUACCUUUAAAGCCUGACAGACACAUGGCCUCACCGGUAGGAAGCCACAAAAAUCAAUAGCUGACAUUUACUCAAUGAAAUACAAAUUGAGAUUAGCUUAGCUUCACUUUUGAUGCAGCAAAAUUCAAGUCGGCAAUCAAUUCCCGGGCCCGGGGAAGACUAUGGAAAUGGGUUUGAAAUGGAUUCGUGUCUUCCUUAGCUAAUUACAGGACACAAGUCAAUUCAUAAUCAAUUGCUACUUCUCCUUUUCCUGGAUACAUUGCAAUGAGCAAAAGCCGUCUGUCAAAGAUGGAUAUUAUGAAUGGUCUUUCCAGAGACAAGCUACUCAGUGUUCCCCAUACAUUGUAAGACAUCAGCUGUUUAAUGAUCAUUUAAAAGACUGUCUGAUUUGUUGAACAAAUAUAAAACUUCCCCUGUGGUUAUUAGUUAAGUGUACAGAAAGUUCUCGGUGUUAUCAAGAGCCUGCUUAGAAAAACAGAGUCUUGCAGAGUGUCUGGCACACAGGGAGCUCCCAGACAACACGGGCUGUUAUUGACGUAGUGGGUGGCAGGCCAGGGGUAAUUGUGGAGUCAGGAAAUUUGAGGUUCAAACUUUAGAUCCAUCACUCUGGACCAAAAAGUUCUACUUCUGGGUAUAUGGCCAACAAAAAUGAGGGACAGAGCCACCAAAACAUGGGUCAAUGAACUCACAAAAGCCAAAAACUUUAUUUAUCCAGCAACUGUCGAGUGGAUACAUAAACGGUGGCAAAUUCAUGAAUGAAAUACUACCCAUCAGUGAGAAAGAACAAACAGCCUGGAUGAAGCCCAGAGGCAUAAUGGUGAGCCAGGCACCAAAGAGGAGCCACUGUACCAUUGCGUUUAUAUGAAGUUCAAGUACGGGAGAAAGUCAGAGCGUGAAAGAGCUUUGAAGAGAGGUGGCUUUGCAAAGAGUUACUGUCUGGGAAGGGGCCUGAAAAAGGCUUCCCGGGGGGCUGGAAACAUUGAUCUGGGUAGUGGUGACGUGACUGUGUAUCUAUAGCUACAGCUACAAACCUCAAUUUCAUGUCUGUAAUGUCAGGUCACAAUUCCUUCGCCGACUCCAGGACCUCAGACCACUCAGCCUCUCUCAACCUCCGUGUCCUCAUCCCUAGAAUGGGGAUGAUGAUAAAAUAUCCACCUCCUAGGAUACCAAUGCGGUAUCAAUACAAUAAUUCACGUACAGAAUUUAGCUCGGAGCCUUGUAUACAAUGAGCGUUUGAUAAAUGCUGCCCAUUAUGAUAUUAUGAUUUCCCGCUGAGAAUGCAGUCAUAACACAGGCAGGAUGCAGGAGGUAUAAACUGCUUGAGGAACCAUUGUGAAGACAGAAGCUAAUAUCACAACUGCAGGCGGACUUGGUAUUAAGAAAAACAAAUACAUCGACUCAUGGGUUUACAAAUCGGAGGGAAAGUUUUAGAUUCUCAGCUUCUAAAUAACCAUCCCUGCAGAAUUCAUUUACAUAACACGUUACUCUCAUGAAGCUGAAAUAUCCUUCAAUGGAAACCAAAAGAUCGGCAUACAGUUUACUUUCAAGGUAUGUCACAUGUACAGCAAGGUACGUCCAUGCAUAUUUACCGAAGUCUCUCUGGGGCUCGGACCACCUGUUCUGGAAAGGUGACACUUGGGACCACAUCCCGACCUUGGAGACACUAAAGGACCUGGAAACUGAUUUCUACAGCAGUGAUUUUCCAGGGAAGGCCAGCAGCCAAAGGAGUUUAAAGGACUUACUGGCUUCUUGCCUGAGUACAGCUAAAGAAUGAUUUAUGGGUCACAAAAAUAGCUGAAUCAUUUCUUGGGAAAGUUGAGAUAUAAGAGCAGGUUUGGUUUGAUCAUGACCAUUUUCUGUAAAAUCUCUAAGGUUAUGGGGCCACAUACGAGGAUUAUAAAUUUGAGGUGCCAGCUAGGACAGCACAGGGGCCUUUCAAAAUUUCCCAGGCCUGCGGAAAAUUUUGCAGUAGGGGGAAUUUUUCAAAUAUUUUACAAUAAAUAAUAUAAGAUGCCCAUGCAUUUUGAGAUACAUCUAGGAACCAAUAAAAGAUGGACUUUCAGGAGUUCCCAUCCUGGUGCAGUGGUUAACGAAUCCGACUAGGAACCACGAGGUGAUGGGUUUGAUCCCUGGCCUUGCUCAGUGGGUUAAGGAUCCGGUGUUGCCGUGAGCUGUGGUGUAGAUCGCAGACACGGCUUGGAUCCUACGUUGCUGUGGCUCUGGUGUAGGCCAGCGGCUAUGGCUCAGAUUCGACCCCUAGCCUAGGAACUUCCAUAUGCUGUGGGUGCGGGCCUAAAAGAAAAAAAAAAAA